UGACAUGAUGAAUCUCACUUUUGGAAUCUCGUUCGGCUGAACGUUCCUGUUGAGAAGCGGAAUCUGAACCUC
rnacentral:snoRNA from 1 species